AUUGAACGCUGGCGGCAGGCUUAACACGUGCAAGUCGAGCGGGGGAAGGUAGCUUGCUACCGGACCUAGCGGCGGACGGGUGAGUAAUGCUUAGGAAUCUGCCUAUUAGUGGGGGACAACAUCUCGAAAGGGAUGCUAAUACCGCAUACGUCCUACGGGAGAAAGCAGGGGAUCUUCGGACCUAGCGCUAAUAGAUGAGACUAAGUCGGAUUAGCUAGUUGGUGGGGUAAAGGCCUACCAAGGCGACGAUCUGUAGCGGGUCUGAGAGGAUGAGCCGCCACACUGGGACUGAGACACGGCCCAGACUCCUACGGGAGGCAGCAGUGGGGAAUAUUGGACAAUGGGGGGAACCCUGAUCCAGCCAUGCCGCGUGUGUGAAGAAGGCCUUAUGGUUGUAAAGCACUUUAAGCGAGGAGGAGGCUACUUUAGUUAAUACCUAGAGAUAGUGGACGUUACUCGCAGAAUAAGCACCGGCUAACUCUGUGCCAGCCGCCGCCGUAAUAC
rnacentral:rRNA from 1 species